GAUUAUGGCUCAGAACGAACGCUGGCGGCGCGUUUAAGCAUGCAAGUCGAGCGGCAAGGGCCUUCGGGCCCCUAGAGCGGCGGACGGGUGAGUAACACGUGGACAAUCUGCCCCCCGGCCCGGGAUAGCCCAGGGAAACCUGGAUUAAUACCGGAUGAGACGGGACCCGCGAUGGCGGGACCCGGGAAAGGCGCUGCGGCGCCGCCGGGGGAUGAGUCUGCGUCCCAUUAGCUAGACGGCGGGGUAACGGCCCACCGUGGCGACGAUGGGUAGCCGGCCUGAGAGGGUGGACGGCCACAUUGGAACUGAGACACGGUCCAGACUCCUACGGGAGGCAGCAGCUAAGAAUCUUCCGCAAUGGGCGAAAGCCUGACGGAAGCGACGCCGCGUGAACGAAGAAGGCCGUGAGGUUGUAAAGUUCUUUUCGGGAGGGGAACAACCGUGGCAGGGAAUGGCCGGCGGGAUGACGUGAAUCCCGGAAUAACGCCCCGGCUAACUACGUGCCAGCCGCCGC
rnacentral:rRNA from 1 species